UGAACGCUGGCGGCGUGCCUAAUACAUGCAAGUCGAGCGAACAGACGAGGAGCUUGCUCCUCUGACGUUAGCGGCGGACGGGUGAGUAACACGUGGAUAACCUACCUAUAAGACUGGGAUAACUUCGGGAAACCGGAGCUAAUACCGGAUAAUAUAUUGAACCGCAUGGUUCAAUAGUGAAAGACGGUUUUGCUGUCACUUAUAGAUGGAUCCGCGCCGCAUUAGCUAGUUGGUAAGGUAACGGCUUACCAAGGCAACGAUGCGUAGCCGACCUGAGAGGGUGAUCGGCCACACUGGAACUGAGACACGGUCCAGACUCCUACGGGAGGCAGCAGUAGGGAAUCUUCCGCAAUGGGCGAAAGCCUGACGGAGCAACGCCGCGUGAGUGAUGAAGGUCUUCGGAUCGUAAAACUCUGUUAUUAGGGAAGAACAAAUGUGUAAGUAACUAUGCACGUCUUGACGGUACCUAAUCAGAAAGCCACGGCUAACUACGUGCCAGCAGCCGCGGUAAUACGUAGGUGGCAAGCGUUAUCCGGAAUUAUUGGGCGUAAAGCGCGCGUAGGCGGUUUUUUAAGUCUGAUGUGAAAGCCCACGGCUCAACCGUGGAGGGUCAUUGGAAACUGGAAAACUUGAGUGCAGAAGAGGAAAGUGGAAUUCCAUGUGUAGCGGUGAAAUGCGCAGAGAUAUGGAGGAACACCAGUGGCGAAGGCGACUUUCUGGUCUGUAACUGACGCUGAUGUGCGAAAGCGUGGGGAUCAAACAGGAUUAGAUACCCUGGUAGUCCACGCCGUAAACGAUGAGUGCUAAGUGUUAGGGGGUUUCCGCCCCUUAGUGCUGCAGCUAACGCAUUAAGCACUCCGCCUGGGGAGUACGACCGCAAGGUUGAAACUCAAAGGAAUUGACGGGGACCCGCACAAGCGGUGGAGCAUGUGGUUU
rnacentral:rRNA from 1 species